rnacentral:ncRNA from 1 species
ACGCCGUGAGGUCGUGUGAGAUGGAAGCUUGUAGCGAAUCGCAGCACCGAAUGAGAGUGAACCUUCGUGCAGGCUGUUUGACCUGGGUUAGCAAGCGUGGACGAGCGACGCCCGAUAUCCGAUCGUGGUCAUUCAGUAGUGAAGGCGGGAGCGGCGAGACAUUUCUCAAU